GGCAGGGUAGCCUAGUGGUUAGAGCGUUGGGCUAGUAACCGAAAGGUUGCAAGUUUGAAUCCCCUAGCUG
rnacentral:tRNA from 1 species